rnacentral:rRNA from 1 species
UACAGAGGGUGCGAACGUUGCUCGGAAUUACUGGGCGUAAAGCGCGUGUAGGCGGGACCGUAAGUCAGAUGUGAAAUCCCCGGGCUCAACCCGGGAACUGCAUCUGAAACUGCGGACCUUGAGUACUGGAGAGGGCGGCGGAAUUCCUGGUGUAGAGGUGAAAUUCGUAGAUAUCAGGAGGAACACCGGUGGCGAAGGCGGCCGCCUGGACAGUCACUGACGCUGAGACGCGAAAGCGUGGGGAGCAAACAGG